GGGUGGUUAGCUCAGUUGGGUAGAGCGCAGCGUUGACAUCGCUGAGGUCACUGGUUCGAAUCCAGUACUACCCACCA
rnacentral:tRNA from 1 species